CGGUGCCUCCUCUCUUCUUCAUUCAUUGCUUCUUCUCUCUUUUUUCCUUUGCUUACGACAUAAAUCGGCGUUUAUUCUUCUUCUUUCUUGCGACUAAAAUUGAGAUUUCUUCUUUUUCCUUCGCCUGGGACAAAGACAGAUCUAGAAAGCAGAGCUCUUGAUCUAGAGAGAGCAAUAGAGAACGAAAAUGACAAAGUUGUCAUUCGAUUGUCAUCACCAGAUCUAAUAUUUUAUCUGUUUUGGAGCUGCUACUAUUAUAUCUGUUUUGCAUAUGCUGCAAUUACAUAUGAUAAGGCGCAUAAUCCUUCUUCAUUUUUUGUAUUUUUUUCUUCUGAUUCUGGUUAUGAUGGAUCUGUUUAUAUAUUAUCACUUUUGGAUCUGUUGAAAUUUUAUAUGUUUCUCCAAAAUAUUAUUUGUUUCAUUUGUCAUAAAUUUUCAAAUGAAAUCUGUCUAAAAAAUAUAACAAAAUUAAACCAAGUCAGUUUCACCUGCCUAAAAAUUUACAGAUAACAUAUAUAUUCAACAAUCCAGAAUUUCAUUAUCUACCAUAAUAUGUUCAUGAAUACAAUCAUAAAAUCCAAAAAAAUCACAAAAAAUAAGAUAACAUAUAUAUUAAUCUUUCUUCAAACAGAGAUUGAUGGGCGUUAUUGGCACUUGGCCGCUCAGCAUCUUGCGAAAACUAAAAUUGAGAGCUUCAUUGUUCUUUGUAUCGUUACUGUGUUUGAUUUUAUGCAGGGGUUUGGUGUCAAUCAUAGAUUGGGUCAGCCGAUGUCUCGCGUCACUCAUCGAUUGUUUCUGAUGAGGCAGCUGAGGUUAGUGGUAGUCGUGAAACAACUUCCCCUGCAAUAUGAGACACUCUUUCUCCUACUAUGCUAUGCACUCUUUGGUCCACCUGUAAAAUCCAUUUCAGAUUUGAGCGAAUUAAUGUACAGAAACUGCACAACCCAUACACUCACAGGAAUAUCAACAAACACUGAUCCAACACAACAGAUCCGGUAGAAGAACUCAUUUCCCAAUGAUUCCACUCCAAGUUCUACAAAAUCACAACCACCGGCAUCAGGUCACUUCCAUAUGUUUUCAUUCGCAGUGACAAUUUCAAUUAAUUCUUCAAGUCCUCUUUGUCAUCCACUCCUCACUAUGUUCUGAUAAGAAACUGGAGAAAAAAGAUAGAGCAUCUCAUGGCGCUGUUGUAUGCUACUUUCUUUUUCAAUUUUCCCUAAUCUUGUCAGUUUUAUAUUUAUUGUUUUGAUUUUGUGUUUCUUCUCUGCUUUCAAAUUUUCUCUUGGUUUGGGUAUUUUUAGCAUCUUUGGAAAAGAGGAAGAGAAUUUUGUGGAGCUCAAAACUACAAAUGGUACUGUAAGGCACUGCACUAUGUUACCCUUGCCCUUGAUUAUUUUCUAUUGGAGAAGAAGAUGGAGUGAAAGACUAUUCCAGUGACUUUGAAACUUCUUACUUUUGUUUACAACAACAGUAACUCAAAAUUUUCUAUAAUUUUGUAUUUGUAAUUAUAGUUUUUGCGUGUCAAGACUUGGUUGAUGUAAUACUGAAGGAAAGGACUGCACCACUAAACUUUCUUUUUCAAAACUUUUUUUUUUUUCCAUUCACAGUGGGACAUUGUGAUUUGUUUUUGCUACUGAGUUUUGGACAUUAUUUUAAUGUUAUGUUUGAUUGAUUUUGGCUUCAACCCAUUUCAAUUUAUGAGUCAAUUUGAUGAUCAACAACAACAGAUACGAGAUAUCUUUGAUGUUUUUGAAUGGAAGGAUCACAUCUACUAUUCCCCAUUGAAUUACUUGUGAGAGAGCUUCUAUUUCUCUUGAAAUUCAUAGUUGAUAUGAGUCAUUUUCUGAACAUUUCUUCCUUUAGGUACCUAUUUUAUCUGUCAAGCUUUCUCAAAAGUUUUUGUGUUGUUGCCAUUUUGGUCUCGGCUAAUGUCUUUUAAUGACAUGUUUGGCUGGUCAAAUUAGAGGCAAUUCCGGGGCUUUUAGUGCAAGGGAUGCCGUCCAGUCCUUGAUUGGCCUGCUAUCUAUGUAAUGUUCUUGAUCUAAUCAUCUAAUUGUUCUUAUUCUUUAAUUUAUGCUCUGUUUUGACGUUAUUUAUAUCUUUCUCAACUGAUAAUUUUUUAUGCAAUAAGCCUCAAAACUUGAAGUACCAUUUUGUGGCGACAAAAAAAAUCGUCGCAAAAGGAUAUAUGAUUUAGUGGCAAUUUGGUUGUCGCCACGAUAGACGAACCAUUUUACGACGACACACAUUGUCGCUGUAUAAACCUUUUGCGACAACGCCUUUUGCGGCAACUAACGGCGACAAAAUUUUGUCGUCACAAAAGGCUAAUGUGACGACAUUUGAUAUCUUUUACGAUGACAACAGUCGCCGCAAAAGAGUGAGAUUGUUGUAGUGAAUUUACAUAAACAUAUGGUAUGCCUAUGUGGCUUUUUUAAUAAAGUUAAUUUAUUUUUUUAA